rnacentral:rRNA from 1 species
UACGGAGGGUGCGAGCGCUGUCCGGAAUCAUUGGGCGUAAAGGGCGCGUAGGUGGCCCGGUCAGUUUGUGGUGAAAGCGCGGGGCUCAACUCCGCGUCGGCCAUGAAUACUGCUGGGCUUGAGCACUGUAGAGGCAGGCGGAAUUCCGGGUGUAGCGGUGGAAUGCGUAGAGAUCCGGAAGAACACCGGUGGCGAAGGCAGUGGGCUGGGCCGGCACUGACGCUGAGGAGCGAAAGCGUGGGGAGCGAACAGG